rnacentral:rRNA from 1 species
AUUGAACGCUGGCGGCAGGCCUAACACAUGCAAGUCGAGCGGAUGAAGGGAGCUUGUUCCUGGAUUCAGCUGGGGACGGGUGAGUGAUGCCUAGGAAUCUGCCUGGUAGUGAGGGAUAACGUCCGGAAAUGGGCGCUGAUACCACAUCCGUACAGAGUGAGAAAGUGAGGGAUCUUCUGACCACACCCUCUCAGCUGAGCCUAGGUCGGAUUAGCUAGUUGGUGGGGUAAAGGCCUACCAAGGCGACGAUCCGUAACUGGUCUGAGAGGAUGAUCAGUCACACUGGAACUGAGACACGGUCCAGACUCCUACGGGAGGCAGCAGUGGGGAAUAUUGGACAAAGGGCGAAAGCCUGAUGCAGCCAUGCCGCGUGUGUGAAGAAGGUCUUCGGAUUGUAAAGCACUUUAAGUUGGGAGGAAGGGAAGUAAGUUAAUACCUUGCUGUAUUGACGUUACCAACAGAAUAAGCACCGGCUAACUUCGUG